rnacentral:rRNA from 1 species
CCACACCAAAAACAACUUUCCACGUGAACUGUCUUACGAGAUUCGCGCCGUGACGCGUGUUGACGCUGUGUGUGUUUGUGUCUUCUUUCGAGAGGAUAUUGUGAUGCAAACAGUGUUGACCGUGUGGGUCGGCUGAUCGAAGGUCGCUUUGUGCAUUAUUGUAUGGAGCGGCUGACUUAUUCUUUCAAACCCAUUACACAAUACUACUGAUUCAUACUGUGAGGACGAAAGUCUUUGCUUUUACUAGAUAACAACUUUCAGCAGUGGAUGUCUAGGCUCGCACAUCGAUGAAGAACGCUGCGAACUGCGAUACGUAAUGCGAAUUGCAGAAUUCAGUGAGUCAUCGAAAUUUUGAACGCAUAUUGCACUUUCGGGUUAUGCCUGGAAGUAUGUCUGUAUCAGUGUCCGUAAAUCAACCUUGCCUCUCUUUGUCGGUGUAGUCCGGCUUGGAGUGUGCAGAUGUGAAGUGUCUCGCGCUACGUCAGUUUGAUGCUAUGCAAUAAGACUAGGCGCGCGAGUCCUUUGAAAACGACACGAUCUUUCUAUUGCUUUCUGUGGAGCGCGACAAUUGAACGCGGCGGUCUUGGGAUCGCCUGCAGUCGAUAGCGACUUUGGCAGAGACAUAUGGAGGAUACCUCAUUUCGCGGUACGUUAGGCUUCGGCUCGACAAUGUUGCGUAGUGUGUGUGUUUUUCCGUCUUUGCUUUGAGGUGUACUGUUGAUUGUGGGCUUGAACCUGGGUUCUGUGUGUUAGUAGAGUGUGGCUGUCUCUGUGGUUUGCGUCUGCGUGCUAUUUCGGUCGCACGUAGGUAGGAGGGUUCCAUUUGGGAAACAUUGUACUGCGCACUGGAAAGUGUGUGUGUAUCUCACUUGGACCUGAUAUCAGACAAGACUACCCGCU